rnacentral:tRNA from 1 species
GGAAUUGUGGCUCAAUGGUAGAGCACUUGCCUAGCAUGUGUAAGGCCCUGGGUUCGAUUCUCAGCACCG